AGAGACAGCAGCAGCGCGGGAAUACGAAGGGUGCAAGCGUUACUCGGAAUUACUGGGCGUAAAGCGUGCGUAGGUGGUGGUUUAAGUCCGUUGUGAAAGCCCUGGGCUCAACCUGGGAAUUGCAGUGGAUACUGGGUCACUAGAGUGUGGUAGAGGAUAGUGGAAUUUCCGGUGUAGCAGUGAGAUGCGUAGAGAUCGGAAGGAACAUCUGUGGCGAAGGCGACUAUCUGGGCCAACACUGACACUGAGGCACGAAAGCGUGGGGAGCAAACAGGAUUAGAUACCCCUGUAGUCCCUGUCUCUUAUACA
rnacentral:rRNA from 1 species